rnacentral:rRNA from 1 species
AUCACGGAGAGUUUGAUCCUAGCUCAGGACGAACGCUGGCGGCAGGCUUAACACAUGCAAGUCGCACGAGAACGUUCUGGCUUUGCCAGGACAAGUACAGUGGCGGACGGGUGCGUAUCGCGUAGAUAACCUGCCCUUAGGCGCGGGACAAUCACGGGAAACCGUGGCUAAUACCGCACGUCGUCUGGGCCCCGCAUGGGGACCAGAUGAAAGCUUGGGGUUACCCAGGCGCCUUUGGAUGGGUCUGCGUUGGAUUAGCUUGUUGGUGAGGCAACGGCUCACCAAGGCAACGAUCCAUAGCUGGUCUGAGAGGACGAUCAGC